rnacentral:rRNA from 1 species
AGUGAACGCUGGCGGUAGGCCUAACACAUGCAAGUCGAACGGCAGCACAGUAAGAGCUUGCUCUUACGGGUGGCGAGUGGCGGACGGGUGAGGAAUACAUCGUAAUCUACUUUUUCGUGGGGGAUAACGUAGGUAAACUUACUCUAAUACCGCAUACGACCUACGGGUGAAAGCAGGGGAUCUUCGGACCUUGCGCGAUUGAAUGAGCCGAUGUCGGAUUAGAUGGUUGGCGGGGUAAAGGCCCACCAAGUCGAGGAUCCUUAGCUGGUCUGAGAGGAUGGUCAGCCACACUGGAAGUGAGACACGGUCCAGACUACUACGGGAGGCAGCAGUGGGGAAUAUUGGACAAUGGGCGCAAGCCUGAUCCAGCCAUACCGCGUGGGUGAAGAAGGCCUUCGGGUUGUAAAGACCUUUUGUUGGGAAAGAAAAGCAGCAGGUUAAUACCCCGCUGUUCUGACGGUACCCAAAGAAUAAGCACCGGCUAACUUCGUG